UACGAAGGGGACUAGCGUUGUUCGGAAUCACUGGGCGUAAAGCGCACGUAGGCGGAUUUGUAAGUCAGGGGUGAAAUCCCGGGGCUCAACCUCGGAACUGCCUUUGAUACUGCGAGUCUUGAGUCCGAUAGAGGUGGGGUGGAAUUCCUAGUGUAGAGGUGAAAUUCGUAGAUAUUAGGAAGAACACCAGUGGCGAAGGCGGCCCACUGGAUCGGUACUGACGCUGAGGUGCGAAAGCGUGGGGGAGCAAACAGG
rnacentral:rRNA from 1 species